rnacentral:misc_RNA from 1 species
GGACACCGGCGGACCUACAUCGGCGCGCUCCCCGGCAAUAUCAUCCAGUCGAUCCACAAGGCCGGCACCCGCAAUCCCGUGAUGAUGCUGGACGAGAUGGACAAGCUGGGUUCCGGAUUUCACGGCGAUCCCGCGGCAGCGUUGCUGGAGGUUCUCGAUCCCGAACAAAAUGCCACGUUCCGCGACAACUACGUCGCCGUUCCCUUCGAUCUCACAAAAGUCCUGUUCAUCGGUACCGCAAACGUCAUCGA